rnacentral:lncRNA from 1 species
ACUCUCUGUUGACUUGAAUCCACACUCUGGGCUCAGGAUGUAUUUGUGAGUGAUUUUCUUCAUUUAAGAUUUUUCAAUCUUCCCUUCUUUGCAUUUUGCUUGGUUGAAGACAUUGCUAUUAAUGUUGUUUCUUGACACCAAUCCUUAAUUUAGGCCCCACCUCCACCCCCAUGUAUGAGAAGGUUGAGUUGUAGACCGGAGAUGGGAACAUUUCCCAGGGCGCGGUCACAGGCGAGCCUGCUUGUGGCUGAGUCAAAACAGAUGGCGAGUUCCCCAGGAUGGUUAGCCUGAAGCCAGCGCGGCCUCUGCAAGAAGGGCCAACCUCCUGAAGUGUGUCUGUGGAAAGGCAUCCUGCAAGAUGCUACAGCUCUCUAGAGCUGGUGGAUGAGGAAGCGUGGCUUCAAGCGUCAAAUGGGAACAUUUCACAGGUGAAUCGAGAAGCCAUUUCCUGAGGACUUCAAGCUGAAACCAAAGGCUCCUUGUUGUUACAAAGAUCGGGAAUUGCACAUACAGACGCAAAGGAAGACAUCGCAGAAAUGGGAAGAAAGCUGAAAGAACUCACGCAGCAAAUAAAAAACGGGGUCAGAGGCCCCAAGAGAGGAGCUAAGUCCUAAGGCGCCCCCUCCAUCCAGAAGGCAGACAGGGGCUUAGAGAGAAAACGCAGAAGAGAGACGGCAGGCCCCAGUGCUCCUGGGAAGGAGGACUGUCCUUGAACUAUGACCUCGUCUUGGAUUUGGGGUGGGUUUCUUGACGGAGCAUGCCGUCCGAACGUCCGUACCUGAGGUCUUUCAUGUGCUAAGGGAAAAGAGGGACGGGGUCCAAGUUCCGCCAACAGGAGGCACGGGGCUCAUCCCUGACCAUCAAGAACCAAAGAGAAUCAAAAGAUGCAAGUCCUCUGCACCUUGAUUUCUUCCUUUGGAAAACGGAAAUUUUAGCGUCUGCGUGGCCGACUCAGCACCUAUUCCAUCCCCUUCCAGGCUGCCUUCCGGUACCAUCAAAGCUGGGAACCCGAUUUGUCAGACUGCUUUGCCGCCAGGGUACAGGCACGUGACCUGGUUUGCCUGAUCAGUGGCACUGCCUCAGGACUCAGAUGUGGAAGCGAGCAAAGCAAGAAGGCAGCUGCAGGCUGGGAGACCGGACUUUCUGGAAAGCGCCAAGGCAGAGGCCUUGAGCCUUCUGGGAAAACGCGGAGGAAUUUUGCACGUUCAGCUGCAAACACCAGGGUGGUGUCUGGCAGGUGGCAGCCGCAGAGGGCGUCUGCUGGUCUUGCGGUGAAUGGGGGCAUUUUUAGGGCUCUCUGGAACCAAGGCUUGUCCAGGACUGUCUGGGGCUGGGCAGCAUUCGGGCUUCAUCCUUUGGUUGUGUCAGAGAGCCCAUGAGGGACCUAAUACGUAAAGUUUAUAACUGUCUUCGGCGCCAACUUGCUCAUGUGGAUUCUGUUGCCUGAGACUAACGACCCUUCCCUGAACCACGUGCAAAACGUUAGACCAGCGCCAGGCAUGUGGCAAAGCCUCUCCGGACAUCAGCGAACGGUCUGUAUUAUCUGAAUAUUCUACCGAGAGAAUGACACCUCUGCCCUGGUUCAGCAAGCAUGAGUUUAAGAGGCCGUCGGCUUCUCACCCGCGGAACUGAACUCUCAAAGCCCCUCUCCCGGAGGAUGGAAACUUGACCUUGCCAUUCGGAGGCAAACCGUCAAGGUCAGCUGGGCUCAAGCCCAGUCAGUGAAGGCUUCUUCCCCUUUCCCCUCGGACGUGCCCUCCUGGCAUCAGUGGCCUGGGGGCGCCCGUUUCCCCUCCUCAUCCCGUCCCAUCCCACGGGGCAUCCAGGGCUGGUGGAGUCGGCCUGGCCUGUGUGCUGAUCCCUGACAUGUCAUUCUUCUGCGUUCACUGCGCUGACACCGGCUGCCGCUCUGCUCCCUUUGUCAGGUCCCCAAAUAUCACUCCACAUCCCCUCCCCCCUGUCGCCAGGCCUCUCCAGCUUCCUCAGCCAGCUGCCUGUUUGUGUCCCUCCUUGGGGUCCUGGAACCCUCUCAGACCUCAGACCCUCGUCCCUGCCACUCUAGGGCCAGGGUCUGGGGAGGGAGGCAUCUCUGUCAUUGGGGGACUUCACCGGGCACAGUGCCCGCUGAGGCUCCGUCUGGGCAGGGGGUGCAGGUCUCCUCUGCUCUGGAGUCUCCAGCCUUCCCCCACCCUGGCCUGUCGCAGUCCCCGGCACCCUCUGAUCCUCCUCCACACACCUCCUCAGUUUGAGCUCCUGCCUCCUUUUGAGCAGGACCGUUGCCCUUUUGCCAUUGAACGUCCUUUCCCACUCCGUGCUUUAUACUACAGAAUCCAUGCUGAGUCCUCCAGACGCUUAACUUUGUGUAGCUUUAAAAGGUUUGCUCCUCACAUGAAAAGGCCUGGCUUUUUCAAAAUGUAUUCAAGAAUUUCUUCACUGAAUUUCUCUGCAACAUUCACCGGGGGCAGGCGCUCUGCGGGCACGGGAAAGCAGCCGUGGACAGACAGAUGGCUUGCAUUCCAGUGGGGAGAUGAGCAGUGAACACAAGCAUAAGUCAAUUGCUUAUUUGUUUUUGGCGGUGACAAUGCCUUGCAGAAGGCAAAAAGAGACUACAAGACAGAGUGGGGAGGUGGUGGUGCUACACUGAGUAGGAUGUCCAGGAAGGCCUGGUGGGUACUUCACUGGGACCUAAAUGCCAAGAGGAAUCCCUCCAGAAGAGAGGGGUCAAGUUGAGGUCCCCAAAUGGAAGGACAGACAACAGGUGCAAAGGCCCUGAGGCAGGAAUGAGCUUGGUCAUGGUCAAGGAUAAGAAAGAAGGCCAUAUAUCAAAUGCUGAAAACAGUGGGGGAAGAAGAUCAGAAUAGGUCCUCUGAGACCCUUUUAGGCCGCUUGGAAGCUGUGCAUUGUUCUCUUAAAGCUUGCAGUUUUUAAGUAGAGAAGUGAUUUGCAUUUUAAGAAGAUCAUUCUAAUUGCUAAUUAUAAGAGGAGGAGAGAGCAUGGGAGCAGGGAGGAGGCAUCUGUAAGAAGCUGAGUGAGUGAUGGGAGUGGGCUGGACUCAGAGGAUGAAGAUGGCGAGAUGUGGACGGAUUCUGGAUACAUUCUAAGGGAAGGAGUAAAGGAAAGGACUGAAAGAGUUGCUGUUGGGCUGCUGAGGGGGGGACAUGCAGAAAAGAGGGGACCAAAGACGACGUCCACAUAUUUGGCUUCAACCUCUGGUUAGCCCCUGGGACAACUGGACCAGUUUUACAGAAAAGGCAACACUUAGGAAUUAACCCAAAUGCACUUCUUGUACAAGAGCUCUGUGUGUGUGUGUGCAUGCGUGUGUGCAUGCGUGUGUGUGUGUGUGCACGUGUGUGUUGGCUUUAGUUAGUGGAUCUCUCUUCUCUCACUAGGAUGCUGCCGUGCCCAGCAGGCUGGGCAAGGACCAAAGGGAUGGAGAGCACUCACCACCGGCCAGAUGGGCACAGGCUGGCCCACUGCAGCCACCUGCUAAUGAAUACCUGCCUCACGGCAUGCUCACCACGUGCUGGCACAGCAUAUAGCUCCACCCACGUCAAGGGAUGCGAUCCUUAGAGCCGCCCCAUGAGAUGUGUUAUUAUGAAUCCUCAUCUAUGGAUGGGGAAACUGAGGUUCAGAAAGGUGAGGUGACUCUCCCAAGGUCACCAGCUGGUGGGUAGUAGAGCCAGGAUCUGAACUCACGCCACCUGAUUUCAAAGUCUAGGCUGAUCAAGCACCCAUUUCAGCUCCGGUAAGGAAAGGCCGAGCGGGGCAGAGAGCCGCGAAGCUUGUCUUCCUCUUAAUGCAUCUAAAUGGAAAGGCCCUGAGCAAAGUGCCGGCCCUGAGUAAGUGCUCAACAAAUUAUAAUCAUAUCAACUAUUAUUUUUAUUAACACCCAGGAACCAGGCAGGCUGGGGCCCUCCUAGCUCCCUGCUCUGCGGGAGGCAGGAGAUGCAAGUUGGGAAGAAACUGAUUUCCAUCCGAUGCCAAGCCGUCAAAAGUAACUGGCAGGAGAGGGGAGGCCAGACAGAAUAUGUAAGUCUGUCUGUUUCUCUUCACUUGUUGUCACACUAUUAUAGCUAAAGAGGGAAAACUUAGUAAGAAAAAGAGCAUACGUCUGCCUACAUUUUUCUAGAUUUACAUUCUUUUCACUUAUUGGAAAAGGAAAAAAAAAUAAGACCAAAUGUUUAAGGCAUGAAAAAAUCAAAAGGCAAGAGAUAUGGAGGGGGAGAAAUCAGACUGGCAGCUGCGUGGAAACUGAAAAAUGGAAAUGACAGGGAGCGGGCUUCAGCGAUGUGACACCACCGUGCUGGAAUUAACUCCUGCUGUCGGGAGGAGAGAAUGGAGUGACAGGAAGCUGCAGGGGGCGACCCUCCAAAUCCAGGAGGGAAAUGAACCCCAUACACAAAAGGUUGAUGUCCCUGUAGGAAUAAGGAUUCGCCUCCAGGGGGAGAUCGACUCUGUGUGCCCGGAAGAUGUGGUUACACGGCAGGACACAGACAGCGAGAGGCGCUGGGCUGCGCCCACCGGGGAGAUGGAGAACGGAUGUGCACCACCCCGAGGCGGGACAGCUCAGCCUGCCUGACACACGCUCUCCCCUCACAGGGCCUCCAGCGAGGGCUUCUGGAGUCAAAACCAAGCUAUGAAAGAGUAAAUGUACAAAAAAACAAAUAAAAGGAACGUGGUCAGUUGGGCGGAAUUUGACGCAUUUCAAGUCAGGGACUCCAGUAAUCGUUGCCGUGAGAGUUGCCUUUCUGGGAAUGACAGACUCGCGAGGAGGGAAUGGAGCUGAUACCCUAAAUCAGGGGUCGACAAACGUUUCUGAUCUAAAUAAAAUAUUUUAGGGUUUCGGGCUGCCGGGCUCUGUCGCAACUGAGCUGACGCAGUGUGAAAUUAGACAUAGACAACGUGUAAAUGAAUCAGCAUGUAAGUUUUCCAAUAAAAUUUUAUUUAUGGACGUGAAAAUUUGUGUUUCACUGUUAAGAGAACAAAAAGAUAAGCCACAGAUGGGGAGAAAAUAUUUGCAAAAUAUGUCUGAUGAAGGAACUGGUAUCUAAAAUAUUCAAAGAACUCUUAAAACUCAACAGUAAGAGAACAAACAAUCCUAUUUAAAAAUCAGCAGAAGAUCUAGACAGAUGCUCCAUUAAAGAGGAUGUGCAGAUGGCAGAGGAGCACAGGAAAAGAUGCUCAGCACCACACGUCAUCAUGGAAGUGGAAAUUAAAACAACAGUGAGAUACCACUGUCGACUGACCAUGGUGUCUAAAACCCAAAAGACUGACAUCACCAAACGCUGGUGAGGACGGGGAGCAACAGGAACUCUCAGUCGUUGCUGGUGGGGAUGCAAAAUGGUACAGCCACUUUGGAAAGAGAGUUUGGCAGUUUCUAACAAAACUAAACAUACUUUUACCAUAGGAUCCAGCAAAUGCACCCCUUGGUAUUUACCCAAAGGAGUUGAAAAUUUAUGCCCACACAAAUGUUUAUCGCAGCCUUAUUCAUAAUUGCCAAAAAGUGGAAACAACCCACAUGUCCCUCCAUAGGUGAAAGGAUAGACAAGCUGUGGUCCCUCCAGACAAUGGAACGAUAUUCAGCAAUAUGAAGAGAUAAGCUAUCAAGCCAUGAAAAUACAUGGAGGAAGCUUAGAUGCAGAUUACUCAGUGAAAGAAGGCAAUCUGAAAAUUCGACCUACCGCAUAAUUCCAUCUACAUGAUAUUCUAGAAAAGACAAAACUAUGGAGACAGGAAAAAGGUCCAUGGAUGCCAGGACUUUAGGGGGAAGAGAGAGGGAUGUGUGAGUGGAGGCUCUGAUUUUUCGGGCAGUGAAACUACUCGGUGUGAUGCUGCAAUCGUGGGUCCCUGUCAUUAGACAUUUGUCCAAACCCAUCGGUCGUGCAACACCAAGAGUGAGCGCUCGUGAGAACUGCAGACUUUAGCUAACAGUAAAGUGCCAGGACUGGCUCACCCACGGCAGCAACUGUACCCGACUAAGAAGGGAUAAUAAUGACGGGAGAAACUUGAGAGUGGUGGAAGGAAAGGGGUACACAGAAACUCUGUACUUUCUGCUCAAUUUUUCUAUAAACUUAAAACCAGUCAAAACAAAAACAAGAAAAGAAAAAUGUGGAUUUCAUAUGAUUUUCAUGUGUCAAAAAAUUAUGCUUCCUUUGAUUGUUUUCCAACCAUUUAAAAAUGUAAAAACC